UGGGUUUUAAAAAUUAAUUUUAGGACAAGUC
rnacentral:piRNA from 1 species